GCUUGCUUCGGCAAUACAUAUACUAAAAUUGGAAUGAUACAGAGAAGACUAGCAAGGCCCCUGCACAAGGAUGACAUACAAAUUCAUGAAGUGUUUCAUAUUUUU